rnacentral:rRNA from 1 species
UACGAAGGGGGCUAGCGUUGUUCGGAAUUACUGGGCGUAAAGCGCACGCAGGCGGAUUGAUAAGUCAGGGGUGAAAUCCCGGGGCUUAACCUCGGAAUUGCCUUUGAUACUGUCUGUCUUGAGUCCGGGAGAGGUGAGUGGAAUUCCUAGUGUAGAGGUGAAAUUCGUAGAUAUUAGGAAGAACACCAGUGGCGAAGGCGGCUCACUGGCCCGGAACUGACGCUCAUGUGCGAAAGCGUGGGGAGCAAACAGG